CGGAGGUCCCGAGCGUUGUUCGGAUUCACUGGGCGUAAAGGGUGCGUAGGUGGCUGGGAAAGUUUGAUGUGAAAGCUCAGGGCUUAACCCUGAAAUGGCAUUGAAUACUACUUAGCUGGAGGUUUGGAGGGGGGACUGGAAUUCUUGGUGUAGCAGUGAAAUGCGUAGAUAUCAAGAGGAACACCAGUGGCGAAGGCGAGUCCCUGGACAACACCUGACACUGAGGCACGAAAGCUAGGGGAGCAAACAGGAUUAGAUACCCUGGUAGUCCUAGCCCUAAACGGUGCACGCUUGCUGUAAGAGGAAUCGACCCCUCUUGUGGCGAAGCUAACGCGAUAAGCGUGCCGCCUGGGGAGUACGGUCGCAAGAUUA
rnacentral:rRNA from 1 species